rnacentral:rRNA from 1 species
UACGUAGGGCGCAAGCGUUAUCCGGAAUUAUUGGGCGUAAGAGCUCGUAGGCGGUUUGUCGCGUCUGCCGUGAAAGUCCGGGGCUCAACUCCGGAUCUGCGGUGGGUACGGGCAGACUAGAGUGAUGUAGGGGAGACUGGAAUUCCUGGUGUAGCGGUGAAAUGCGCAGAUAUCAGGAGGAACACCGAUGGCGAAGGCAGGUCUCUGGGCCAUUACUGACACCGAGAAGCGAAAGCAUGGGGAGCGAACAGG